GUCCGGAACUUGCCAGAGAUGGCUUGGUGCCCGAAAGGGAACCGGAACACAGGUGCUGCAUGGCUGUCGUCAGCUCGUGUCGUGAGAUGUUCGGGUUAAGUCCCGCAACGAGCGCAACCCUUAUCAUUAGUUGCUACGCAAGGGCACUCUAAUGAGACUGCCGGUGACAAACCGGAGGAAGGUGGGGAUGACGUCAAGUCCUCAUGGCCCUUAUGGGUAGGGCUUCACACGUCAUACAAUGGUCGGUACAGAGGGUUGCUAAGCCGCGAGGUGGAGCCAAUCCCACAAAGCCGAUCGUAGUCCGGAUUGUUCUCUGCAACUCGAGAGCAUGAAGUCGGAAUCGCUAGUAAUCGCAGGUCAGCAUACUGCGGUGAAUACGUUCCCGGGUCUU
rnacentral:rRNA from 1 species